rnacentral:rRNA from 1 species
GAUGAACGCUGGCGGCGUGCCUAAUACAUGCAAGUCGAGCGAACAGACGAGGAGCUUGCUCCUUUGACGUUAGCGGCGGACGGGUGAGUAACACGUGGAUAACCUACCUAUAAGACUGGGAUAACUUCGGGAAACCGGAGCUAAUACCGGAUAACAUGUUGAACCGCAUGGUUCAACAGUGAAAGACGGUCUUGCUGUCACUUAUAGAUGGAUCCGCGCCGCAUUAGCUAGUUGGUAAGGUAACGGCUCACCAAGGCAACGAUGCGUAGCCGACCUGAGAGGGUGAUCGGCCACACUGGAACUGAGACACGGUCCAGACUCCUACGGGAGGCCGCAGUAGGGAAUCUUCCGCAAUGGGCGAAAGCCUGACGGAGCCCCGCCGCGUGAGUGAAGAAGGUCUUCGGAUCGUAAAACUCUGUUAUUAGGGAAGAACAAAUGUGUAAGUAACUCUGCACGUCUUGACGGUACCUAAUCAGAAAGCCACGGCUAACUACGUG